UGUUUUCAUUUGUUCCUGCGCUCCGACGCUGCGCAAAAAGUGGCGACUUUCUAUGGGUGAGGAGGCUGCAAAGUUUCCAGACUGAGCUUCGAACCAGAGCUGCUGUUUCAGUGAAAUGAAGGUAUGCAUUCAUAUAACCUAUGGAAAUAUACACAUUUAUACAUGUUUCUCUUAUGAGAACUUUUGUUUGUUGCGUGUUUCUCCAGCUCCCCGAGUUUAUUGUGGGCAUUUUACGCACCAGUACUGAACCAUAUAAGGCGCGUAACUUACACAACUAUUAUUAGACAUGUCGUUCAGAAGGAGGGGGCAUAGCGGUGCCAGCACCAGUGAGAUGGAAAACAAAGUGACGAUCAAAGUUUGACAGUAAAAAAGCACCCACGUCUUAUUCUGCUCCCUGCUGUUUUGAGAAUGAGGAGAAAACGCAACGUGUUCCUAAACUGCUGCCUCUGCACUUUCAGCGCCUCCGGCCGGAUUGAAGCCCCGCCGGGGUCCUCGGGGUCCGGCUGCUCCUGUCGCUCCCAGCGGCCUGUUCCACACGGCCUGGUCAGCGUCGAACAAACACCGCAGCAGCCGAGAGAGGAAUUCUGUCAUUACAACGGCUCACCAGAAUGGAUCGACUGUAUCCUGAUGUUUAGUGGAGGACUGGUUCGCACUGUACAGCAGCUGUUGUCACGUUCAUGCCAUGGGUUUUCCUUUUUUGUCUUUUCAUUGAACGUGUUAUUAGAUUUGAUGAUAUGAGCUGUUUUUAGACCAAUCCAAGACAUAUGACCAAGAAAGGAUUUUUAUAUUUUAUUUCAUUUUUUCAUUUUUAUAUAACCAGGGCUUUCCUGUCAUUGAGUCAAACUCAACACUGUAUGACCUCCGUGGUGGAGGAAAUAAAAGAUUCUGUUUUGUCUUAGAGCUCAGCUCCUCCUCUCGUCCAUUCAUUUCUCAAUA
rnacentral:lncRNA from 1 species